GCGGACAUGGUGGAAUUGGUAGACACGCUAGAUUUAGGAUCUAGUGAGAUUAUAUCGUGAGAGUUCGAGUCUCUCUGUCCGCA
rnacentral:tRNA from 1 species